GAACAUUACAUUAUCUCACACAUACAAUCUCUACAAAAGUUGCUUACCUCAUUUACAUAAUAUAUUCAGUCGAUUGUAAAAUAAAUGUUCCAAUAUCUCCUAGUGUUACUAUGUUUCUGUGCUUGUGGGACUGAAUAAUGUAAUCUGCCACUUACUAAGUGAAAUUUAAAUGAUGGCACUUAAAAAAAAAUACAGUAUUUUAAAAAAACACAAUGAAAGAAGUUUUACCUAGAAGGUACGAAAGCCCUGAGUGAUAGUGGAAUUACUGAUUGGUAAGCACUACAAUUAACCUAAUUAAACGUUUACCACCCCAGGCACAAAUUUCCAAGUGUUCUCAAGGCACUCACUUAAGUUUCUGUAACCAAUGCAUUGGUCACCACCAUAGGUCCCAAUCGAUGAUGGAGAUGAGUAGAGAAAAAAAUUUGCUUUGGUACAAAAGAUGUUUUUUUAAAUGAAUACAAUUCAAUACCUCCUUUAUUGGGUCGUUUAAAAUUGUGUUUAGCAGGUUAAAACAAAGCAAUCAUUUGUUCAAAACUAUUAAUUCACUGAAGGAAAAAUUUACUUGGUUAUCAGCAGUCAAUGGGAGUUUUUCUUUUCUUCUUUCCUCCCCAGAAUCAUAAUUCUUCUAACAAAGAUUUGUGGUCCUCAUUAUUGAGCUACAUGAACAAUUCUUACCAAAGAUUUCAUUACUCAGGGCUUCCAAUUCCAAGAUCAUAAUUUAUUUAAAAAACAAAGGAAAGAGGGGAAAGAAAAGAAUCAAAUACCAGAACCAAAUGAAAGAAGAGACAAAACACGUUUCUGAAAAUAAGACGUAUUACCAAUUACUUCAAACAAAAGAAAAAAAAUCCUAGGCAGUCACUUUGUAAGUGGCUUUUACUAUUUAAGUAAAAUUGGUAAACUAAACUCAGGUCUACUGGCACAUAAAAUCACUAGCAGCAAUGAUCAAGGCAUGCAAACUGAGAAGCAUUUACAGUAAAUCAUCAUGAAGAAUUCAAAAGAAGAGAGUUAAAUUAAAACCCUUUGAGUAUUGCAUGUUAACACAUGAGUAAUUUGCAUGGUUUGACUUCCUAAACUGCCUAAAAAAAGCAACGUUGACGGCAAACUUGCACUAUGCUAUGGAUGUCCUUUCACCAGACAUCGGAAUAGGUUACACUCUCACGAGCGCCGGGCCAGGGCAGCGCAAGCGCAUCUGCAGAUGACACUGCUCUCCUGUUCCAUCACGCAGGGGACAGAGGGGUCAAUAUGAGCUUAAAAUCAAGUGCUUUGCUCUCCAUUCUAUCAAUGUAGAAUUUUUUGACAAAGUAUUAAAGUUUUGGAGCAUAGAUAAAAUUAUGCCCUGUAUGAAAUUCCCAAACAGUAUUUGAUGAGAGAUCUAACUCCAGAUAGCUUACCUGCCCUCGAAGAGUUCAGCUUUUCUUUAUCCACUUGAACUCGUUUCUUCCUAAGGCUUCACUUACAAUUGUACUUUCUAAAGCUAAAUAAACGAGAUCUUUUGUUUUGUUUUGGAAAAAAAAAAAGAGAAAGAAAUGUAACCCUUUCUUUAUCAUACCUUUUAAAGGCAAUCUAGGUACUUUCAAUGUGCAGAUCAGUUAUGACAUGGGUCUACAGGCCCAUGUGUUUGUCCUCCUUUUCUAGAGUCAUGAUGUGAUGCUAGAAAAGUUGAUUUGUUUUUUUCUGUAAACAGCACACUUACUUAGAUGGCAGUGAAUAUUUGGGAAUAAAUAUAUCAAGCCCUCUUGAAGAAAAUUAAGAGUUGUAUAUAAAAUGCAAGUGUCCAGCGUGGAAACACUUUCUCUUCCUACCCCCCCUUUAAAAAAACAGCAUAAUUAGACAUUUGGAUAUAGAGUAUAUUUUACCGGUCUAAGUCUAAAUAAAUGAUCUGAAAGGCUUUUGUCCCCCAUUGUAUAUCUUACAAUGCUCAAAGGGUUAAUACAAGGCAUUACAUCAAAGGGGUUUUCUAAUACUAGAACAAAGCACUGAAUUAAUGCUUCUAUUCCGGUUUUUAAAAAAAUCACCAAACUUGCAGAAAUACUAGGAUUCCAUUAAUUGAUCUGUUCUAACCAUAUACAUGGAGGUUGAUCUGAUCUAGUGACAAGCCCAAUUGUCAAUAGCACUGCAUGUCAACCCCUCUCCCCCAUGUUCUGAUGGGAUUCAUACAAAUCACCAGUUCUGAUUGCAAUGUUUCAAUGGCUGUUAUUUUCUCACCAAGGAUUCGGGGGAGGGGAAGUUAUAACAAAGGUCAAUUUGUUGUACCUAACCACUGCCUCAAGUUGUACACAAAGGUGACUUGCCGAAGUUUUUUACUUUCUACUUGUGUCCACACAGGGAGGACCAACAUCACAGUGACACACAUUUUCUUCCUUUUACACUAAUGUUUCAAGCACAGCAUUAUUUUAGACAUUUCAAAUAUAUCAUAUGAAGAAUUUUUUUAAAAUUUGAAAAUGCAUCACGUUUAGC
ensembl:lncRNA